UUUGGAGUGUGGUUCUCCAAAGUAUGUAUAGAGUGGCGACAACUAUCCUGUUUAAUCAGGUUUUUUUUUAUCUCACACAUCUGAUGUUAGAAAAAUGAUUUUUGUUAGUUUUCAUUACAAGAAGCUGCUUCAGCGAAUGCAGGAUUUGUUUUCGGUUUAUCCAGUACAUGUAUCCCUGGAAAUGAAGUUCCAGAAUGGUUCCAACUGCCGUACUUAAAGGAGCCAUGUUUCUGCAGAUAUUGACUGCAUCCUUGUUGCCUUUCUCGCUGUUGUUAAUUGCAAAGGUUAUUUUCAUAACUGAGUCUGGACAGAGCCUUGAAUCUUGGUCCUACCCAAUCAGCCAUCACGAUCACGAGGUGAAGUUUUCCAACGUCCUGGGAAUGCAUGUCCUUUGGUAUAAUUCAGUUCUUUUCCAUUCCAAACUCUUUUUCAAUGAGGUCUCAUUUGAAUUAUGCAUGUAAUCCUUAUGUAUGCGACGAAUAUAUUCUAUAAUUUUUCAAAAAAAGAAAAAAACAGAUUUUGUGAUUUCUAAAAUGAAUUGAUUGUAUAUGUGGACAAUAGAUUAUAGAUGUAUGGUACAAAAGCUCCCAGUCCUGGUCUCUGUACGACAUGGAAUUAUGAAAGCAUAGGCCGGCAAACUCGAUUGUUUACAACUAAAUAGGCUUCUUCCAAAGUCAAGAUCAACUGCAAGUUUAGUUAUGUUAAAAUCUUAGCUAUGAGGUUUGAGUUUGAAUCCAGUUGGUUUCCAAUGAGCAAAGGAUGAUAUUCUUGACUAGUGAGGCUGAGUAUAAAAUAGAAACUUUGGCAAGAAUCAUAGAAGGGAAGACCUUGACCUUACAAGACAUUGCUUCUUCGAAGGUUCAGUAUGGAACAUACGCAUGAAAAUGUCCUGUUGAAAAUUUUUCUUUCAGUAUCAGGAUAUCGCAUGGUAAAAACACUAGGCUGGUUCCUUUAGCAACUUAAUUGGCAGAAUGAAAACAUACGUUUUUGCUUGGAAUUUCACCUACUAAAAUUGGGAAUGGGAUAUUAUAUAUAUGCCACCAACUUCAUUCCAUCCAGCUUAUAGUUGAGUUUUCAAAUCCUAUAGCUUGGCUAUUAUUGUUAUAACAGGCUUUAAAUAUUUAAGAUUGACCCAGCAAUCUCUACCAAAUUAUUCAUUGACUUUUGCUUGCUUGCUAGCAGCAGAGUCAAUAAUUUUACAAUACAAUGGCUGUUGGGUGCACAUCAUGAUUGAACACCAACUAAUUAAAUAGCGAGGGAAGAGAAAUUAGAGAGAGCAAAGCUGGGAUGGGGAAACUUGCUAGCCAACCUGAACUUGCAAUUCAGCAUUUCAGCCACCCACACCAAUUGGAGCUUUCCAAUUACCAACCACAACAGACUCUGUGUCUCUCCUCAUGUUCUGCUUGCAAGCUCAAAGCCUCUGGAUGGAUGUACACAUACAACAAUUGCAACUACUUUCUUCAUAUCUCAUGCUCCCAAUUGCCCCAACAGAUCAGUCACCCAUUUGACCAAAACCAUGUUCUGUCUUUGCUCUCUACCCCCAUCUAUCCAGAAGGCUUAUUCCGCUGUGAUGCUUGUGGCAAGCAAGGCAAUGGCUUCUCUUACCAUUGUGGGAUAUGCAAUAUUGAUCUCCAUGCUACAUGUGCAGCCAUGCCACUAAUUGUCGCCCACCAAUGUCACCAUCACCAGCUCAAUCUCACUUUCUUUAUUCCUUAUCUUAACAAAUGUUUCUCUUGUGAUAUAUGCCACAACCUGGGGUCCAAGCAAUGGCUCUAUAGGUGCAACCUGUGUGAAUUUGAUGCUCACUUGGACUGUGCCACAGCAGAGCCAAAACCAGCUCCUGUUCAAGCUCCAAUUCAACAGGUUCGAGCACCAAUUCUACAAGGUCAAGUACAAUACUACCAAAGAGCACCAACACAAGCUAUUACUCAGUGUCAGGUUGUUGGAACUCCAAUGGUAACAAGGCCACCCAUGCAAAGCUUUGCACCUAAUAAUAUGCUCAUGGCUGUUGGGAGAUCAAAUCAGCAGGGAUAUCCUUUGUUGAACCAGGUACUACAAGGACUACUAGGUGUUGGAGGUGGUGGAAUUGAUCUUGGAAGCACUCUUGGUGGGGGUGGAGUAGACUUUGGAGGAUUAGGUGGAGCAGACUUUGGAGGAUCUGGAAGUUCUUAAAGUUAUAAGCUUUCCAUUUUUCUUUUACAUAAUUUUUCUUGCCAAGUACAAGCUUGCUUCUGUUUUGUUUGAUAAUCAUCUGCUAAUGUAUUGUUGAGUAUGAUUCUUAGCAUCAGAAUUGGAUUUCAGCCAGCAAGGCAUAUAACCUUUGUUUGCUUAUUUGAUUCUGAAACUCAGGAAAAUCUGUUAAGCUUCUAUUCCUCUGGGUGUCCAUAGCUUGAUUAAAUGCAAUGAUAUGGUGUCAUUUUAAAGCCACUGACUAGCUUGUGGGUUUAUAUCUUGG
rnacentral:misc_RNA from 1 species